CGACCUCAAUUUUACCAAAUCAAACCAAGAAAAUAUAGGUUCUCCCCAUUUUAUUCGAUUUUCGAUUUACCGACUAUGAAUUUAUGAUUUGAGUAGAGAUUGUAACACUAAAUUCCUUAUAGGGUGAGUUCACAAUUUUGCGAUCUACAUGAGUUACAUUCUGCUACCACAACAAUUAGUCUUCUAUUUUUCUUCAACAACCAUCCUUUUAUCUAACUCUGUUGGAGGCUAAUGGAGAUAAAACAAACAACAAACUACCUUAAAUUAAUGACAUCAUGGUUAACCUUAAAAUACACAUAUCUCUUUUUCUGAAAAUUGGCACGGACUAGCACGAAUCAGUUGGCAAGUUGGUAAAUUAUUUUUUGUCAUUGAUGUUAUGAUAAACAAAGUCGUGAGAUCAUAUGAAUGGAUUGUUGGUGUUCUGUGGUAAUAGGAAGUUCUACUUUAAAGUUUACAGGCUAGCUUCCUGGUACGUAUGAAUGACAAGACUCAAUCGGACAAAGAAGACGGUCUCCAUGUUCUAAGAUUCAGCGUCCGAGAAAAAAAGAAGAAGAAAUGAAGAAGAAUAUGGAGAAAUGAUCUUGGCAAAAGGGUACUAACAGGACAAGCUUUAUAAAGAGUUUAAUGGUUCUUUGGCAAAAUCUUAGCUUGUGACAACAAUGCAGGGAUGACUUUUGAAUGGAUGGAUUUUCCUUUGCAUCAACUAUACAAGAUUUAUUUAGUUUUUGAGUUCCUCUUUAUUUAACUAGAACUACAGUGAUUACAAUAUUCAAUUUUUAUAUGUUAUGUAUUAUGUAAUGACAAUUAAAAUGUUUUU